AUGGGAGCACAAGAAUACGCAGAAAACGUUUAUUCGCUGUUCAUUAAGGGAUGGGUUCAGGACAGCUCCAAACAGAAGCCCAUUCAUGGGCUGGUGAAUGGAGAGGAUAGAGGAGAAGCUGUUACUUGGUGGGACCAAAUGUUUGGGACCUAUAUUGACAAGAUUUUUUUUUCAAGAAUGAAGAAGGCAGUAGAAGAUGACGUUUUUAUUCCUCUGUAUCCAAAGAGUGCUGUAGAAAACAAAACAUCACCUCAUUCAAAGUUCCAAGAAAGACAGUUCUGGUCAGGCCUAAAGCUCUUCCACAAUAUUCUUCUUUGGAAUGGACUCCUUACAGAUGACACCUUGCAAGAACUAGGACUAGGGAAGCUGUUAAAUCGUUACCUUAUUAUAGCUCUUCUCAAUGCCACACCUGGGCCAGAUGUGGUUAAAAAGUGCAACCAGGUAGCAGCAUGUCUACCAGAAAAAUGGUUUGAAAAUUCUGCCACGAGGACAUCUAUUCCACAGCUGGAAAACUUCAUUCAGUUUUUAUUGCAGUCUGCACAUAAAUUAUCUAGAAGUGAAUUCAGGGAUAAAGUCGAAGAAAUAAUUCUUAUUUUGGUGAAAAUAAAAGCUUUGAAUCAAGCAGAAUCCUUCAUAGGAGAGCAUCACCUAGACCAUCUUAAAUCACUAAUUAAAAAAGAUUGAAUAAACUUUAUAGGAAAAUCCUAAAAUUUUAAUAUAGUUAUACUCAGUUCCUUUGCU